UACGUAGGGGGCAAGCGUUGUCCGGAUUUAUUGGGCGUAAAGAGCGUGUAGGCGGCCUUACAGGUCAGCUGUGAAAACUCGAGGCUCAACCUCGAGACGUCGGUUGAAACCGUAAGGCUAGAGUCCGGAAGAGGAGAGUGGAACUGCGAGUGUAGAGGUGAAAUUCGUAGAUAUUCGCAAGAACCCCAGGGGCGAAGGCGGCUCCCUGGCCGGGUACUGACGCUGAGGUGCGAAGCGUGGGGAGCAAACAGG
rnacentral:rRNA from 1 species